AUUCUGUGAUCAGUCAUCCCUCCUCGCUGGUGAAUGGAGACAGUGGUCACAACUCUCCCCGCAGAAGGUGGUGUGGGGCCAUCACCGAAGAUGCUGUUGCUUCUGCUGCUUCUGGGGACAGCAGGCUCCGGGCUUGCUGCUGUCGUCUCUCAAUAUCCAAGCAGGGUUAUCUGUAAGAGAGGAACCUCUGUGAAGAUCGAGUGCCGUUGCCUGGACUUUCAGGCCACAACUAUGUUUUGGUAUCGUCAGUUCCAGACACAGAGCCUCAUACUCAUGGCAACUUCCAAUGAGGGCUCCGGCGUCACAUACGAGCAAGGCGUCAAGCAGGACAAGUUUCCCAUCAACCAUCCAAACCUGACCUUCUCCACUCUGACAGUGACCAAUGCCCAUCCUGAAGACAGCAGCUUCUACAUCUGCAGUGCUAGAGACACAGCACCAGGAAGGGAUCAGAGACCGCGGCAAGAACCCCCUGCAGCUGCCCCUCUGCCCCAGGGGGGCCCCUGAGUGCUGAGAGGGGAGGCGUGGAGAUGGAAAACCACAGCUUUCCUGACUGAGACAUCUGGGUGUGUGUGUGACAUCUGGGUGUGUGUGUGUAGGGGGUGGGGCGGGGUGGGGGGAGAGAAAGAAAAGAAGCCCUGUGAGUGUGGAUAGUGGAGGAGCUGUAGUGUUUGAGACCCAUGAAAUGGCCAUAGAGUUGGGCCUAAAGUGGUCAGUGGACGUGGAAGCUUCCCUGAAAAUUAUAAAACCUGGAAUUUUGCCCUGACUCUGCCACAUUAGUCAUGUGCUCUUGAAUAGAUCUACACAGAAUCCUAGAGGUAGAUAUGAAGACAGUUGUAUAAUCACUGUGUAUUUCCUAUAAUAAACUUCAGCGAUUGGCUUUCUUGUCAUCAUGCUGGGCUCUCAAGACAAGGAUAACCAAGAGGCAGCCAAGUAGACAGUUAUGCAUGAGUACGUUACCUUAGGGGAGGACGGCAACAGCAUUGAAUAGCACCCACUUCAAAUUUGUGUUCAGUCCUCCUUGGACCAGGACCACCAAAAUAAAAUCCUAUCACAUUUCCUGUAAA